UUCGGAUGCUGACGAGUGGCGAACGGGUGAGUAAUACAUCGGAACGUGCCCGAGAGUGGGGGAUAACGAGGCGAAAGCUUUGCUAAUACCGCAUACGAUCUACGGAUGAAAGCAGGGGACCGCAAGGCCUUGCGCUCAUGGAGCGGCCGAUGGCAGAUUAGGUAGUUGGUGGGAUAAAAGCUUACCAAGCCGACGAUCUGUAGCUGGUCUGAGAGGAUGAUCAGCCACACUGGGACUGAGACACGGCCCAGACUCCUACGGGAGGCAGCAGUGGGGAAUUUUGGACAAUGGGCGAAAGCCUGAUCCAGCCAUGCCGCGUGCAGGAUGAAGGCCUUCGGGUUGUAAACUGCUUUUGUACGGAACGAAAAGACUCUUUCUAAUAAAGAGGGUCCAUGACGGUACCGUAAGAAUAAGCACCGGCUAACUACGUGCCAGCAGCCGCGGUAAUACGUAGGGUGCAAGCGUUAAUCGGAAUUACUGGGCGUAAAGCGUGCGCAGGCGGUUAUGUAAGACAGAUGUGAAAUCCCCGGGCUCAACCUGGGAACUGCAUUUGUGACUGCAUAGCUAGAG
rnacentral:rRNA from 1 species